AUGAGCCUGUGUCACAGUGUUAAUGUGUUCGGCGGAGGGACCCAGCUGACCGUCCUAGGUCAGCCCAAGUCCGCACCUUCAGUCACCCUGUUCCCGCCAUCCAGUGAGGAGCUUGACAAGAACAAGGCCACACUGGUGUGUCUGGUCAGUGACUUCUACCCCGGCAGCGUGACGGUGGCCUGGAAGGCAAAUGGCAAGCCUGUCACCCAGGGCGUGGAGACCACCAAGGCCUCGAAACAGAGCAACAACAAGUACGCGGCCAGCAGCUACCUGAGCCUGCGCUCGAAAGCAGAGUGGAGCUCUGUCAGCAGCUUCAGCUGCCAGGUCACGCACGACGGCAACACUGUGGAGAAGACAGUGGUCCCCUCAGAGUGUUCGUAG